UACGAAGGGGGCUAGCGUUGCUCGGAAUCACUGGGCGUAAAGCGCACGUAGGCGGAUUGCUAAGUCAGGGGUGAAAUCCUGGAGCUCAACUCCAGAACUGCCUUUGAUACUGGCGACCUUGAGUCCGGGAGAGGUGAGUGGAACUGCGAGUGUAGAGGUGAAAUUCGUAGAUAUUCGCAAGAACACCAGUGGCGAAGGCGGCUCACUGGCCCGGUACUGACGCUGAGGUGCGAAAGCGGUGGGGAGCCAAACAGG
rnacentral:rRNA from 1 species